rnacentral:rRNA from 1 species
GAUAAACGCUGGCGGCGUGCCUAACACAUGCAAGUCGAACGCUUUUUGGUACUUCGGUGCGAGAGAGAGUGGCGGACGGGUGAGGAACACGUGGAUUAUCUCCCUUGAGGUGAGGAAUACCGACGAGAAAUCGUUGACAAUACCGCAUAGGUUCGGUGAGAGCCGAGCAAAGUCUUGUGAGAGCAAGAUGCCUUGAGAUGAGUCCGCGGCCGAUUAGCUAGCUGGUGGGGUAAUGGCCUACCAGGGCGACGAUCGGUAGCUGAUCUGAGAGGAUGAG